CAAAAAAUAGUUUAAUUAAAAUACUAGUUUUGGGGACUAGCGAUAGAUGUGACUAUCUUUUUUUGU
rnacentral:tRNA from 1 species